CCUACGGGUGGCUGCAGUGGGGAAUAUUGGACAAUGGGCGAAAGCCUGAUCCAGCCAUGCCGCGUGUGUGAAGAAGGCCUUCGGGUUGUAAAGCACUUUCAGUUGGGAAGAAAGCCUUUGGGCUAAUACCCUCGAGGAAGGACAUCACCCACAGAAUAAGCACCGGCUAACUCCGUGCCAGCAGCCGCGGUAAUACGGAGGGUGCGAGCGUUAAUCGGAAUUACUGGGCGUAAAGCGCGCGUAGGCGGUCUGAUAAGCCGGUUGUGAAAGCCCCGGGCUCAACCUGGGAACGGCAUCCGGAACUGUCAGGCUAGAGUGCAGGAGAGGAAGGUAGAAUUCCCGGUGUAGCGGUGAAAUGCGUAGAGAUCGGGAGGAAUACCAGUGGCGAAGGCGGCCUUCUGGACUGACACUGACGCUGAGGUGCGAAAGCGUGGGUAGCAAACAGGAUUAGAUACCCGAGUAGUC
rnacentral:rRNA from 1 species